rnacentral:rRNA from 1 species
UAGGGAAUCUUCGGCAAUGGACGAAAGUCUGACCGAGCAACGCUGCGUGUGUGAAGAAGGUUUUUGGAUUGUAAAACUCUGUUGUCAGAGAAGAACAAGUACGUUAGUAACUGAACGUUCUCUGACGGUAUCUAACUAGAAAGUCACGGCUAACUACGUGCUAGCAGCCGCGGUAAUACGUAGGUGGCAAGCUUUGUCCGGAUUUAUUGGGCGUAAAGCGAGCGCAGGCGGUUACUUAAGUCUGAUGUGAAAGCCCCCGGCUCAACCGGGGAUGGUCAUUGGAAACUGUGAGACUUAAGUGCCGAAGAGGCGAGUGGAAUUCCAUGUGUAGCGGUGAAGUGCGUAGUAAUCUGGCGGAACUCAAGUGGCGAAGGCGGCUCUCUGGUCUGUAACUACCGCUGAGGAUCGAAAGCGUGGGGAGCAAACAGG